GGUCGGUUAGCUCAGUCGGUUAGAGCGUGGUGCUAAUAACGCCAAGGUCGCGAGUUCGACCCUCGUACUGACCA